UUCGCGAACGCGCUCCCGCUAA
rnacentral:miRNA from 1 species